AUUGAACGCUGGCGGCAGGCCUAACACAUGCAAGUCGAGCGGUAGAGAGGUGCUUGCAUCUCUUGAGAGCGGCGGACGGGUGAGUAAUGCCUAGGAAUCUGCCUAGUGGUGGGGGAUAACGUUCGGAAACGGACGCUAAUACCGCAUACGUCCUACGGGAGAAAGCGGGGGAUCUUCGGACCUCGCGCCAUUAGAUGAGCCUAGGUCGGAUUAGCUAGUUGGUGAGGUAAUGGCUCACCAAGGCGACGAUCCGUAACUGGUCUGAGAGGAUGAUCAGUCACACUGGAACUGAGACACGGUCCAGACUCCUACGGGAGGCAGCAGUGGGGGAAUAUUGGACAAUGGGCGAAGCCUGAUCCAGCCAUGCCGCGUGUGUGAAGAAGGUCUUCGGAUUGUAAAGCACUUUAAGUUGGGUAGGAAGGGUAGUAACCUAAUACGUUGCUACUUUGACGUUACCGACAGAAUAAGCACCGGCUAACUUCGUGCCAGCAGCC
rnacentral:rRNA from 1 species